rnacentral:rRNA from 1 species
AGGACGAACGCUGGCGGCGUGCUUAACACAUGCAAGUCGAGCGGAAAGGCCCUUCGGGGUACUCGAGCGGCGAACGGGUGAGUAACACGUGAGCAACCUGCCCCUGGCUCUGGGAUAGCCUCCGGAAAACGGGGAUUAAUACCGGACAUGACCUGCUGCCGCAUGGUGGCGGGUGGAAAGUUUUUCGGCCAGGGUGGGCUCGCGGCCUAUCAGCUUGUUGGGGGGGUGACGGCCCACCAAGGCGACGACGGGUAGCCGGCCUGAGAGGGCGACCGGCCACACUGGGACUGAGACACGGCCCAGACUCCUACGGGAGGCAGCAGUGGGGAAUAUUGCGCAAUGGGCGAAAAGCCUGACGCAGCGACGCCGCGUGAGGGAUGAAGGCCUUCGGGUUGUAAACCGUCUUUCAGCAGGACGAAGCGAAAGUGACGGUACCUGCAGAAGAAGACACGGCCAACUACGCGCCAGCAGUCGC